rfam:Triticum aestivum genome assembly, contig: Triticum_aestivum_CS42_TGACv1_scaffold_226556_3B
GAGGUACCCCCUCCGUUCGGAAUUACUUGUCGUAGAAAUGGAUGUAUCUAGAUAUUUUUUAAUUAUAGAUACAUCUAUUUCUGCGACAAGUAAUUCGGAACAGAGGGAGUAGUUU